rnacentral:rRNA from 1 species
GACGAACGCUGGCGGCGUGCUUAACACAUGCAAGUCGAACGGAAAGGCCCUGCUUUUGUGGGGUGCUCGAGUGGCGAACGGGUGAGUAACACGUGAGUAACCUGCCCUUGACUUUGGGAUAACUUCAGGAAACUGGGGCUAAUACCGGAUAGGAGCUCCUGCUGCAUGGUGGGGGUUGGAAAGUUUCGGCGGUUGGGGAUGGACUCGCGGCUUAUCAGCUUGUUGGUGGGGUAGUGGCUUACCAAGGCUUUGACGGGUAGCCGGCCUGAGAGGGUGACCGGCCACAUUGGGACUGAGAUACGGCCCAGACUCCUACGGGAGGCAGCAGUGGGGAAUAUUGCACAAUGGGCGGAAGCCUGAUGCAGCAACGCCGCGUGCGGGAUGACGGCCUUCGGGUUGUAAACCGCUUUCGCCUAUGACGAAGCGUGAGUGACGGUAAUGGGUAAAGAAGCACCGGCGAACUACGU